rnacentral:rRNA from 1 species
GUCCUGCGGGUGCUAUCAUGCAGUCGAGCGAAUGGAUUAGAGCUUGCUCUUAUGAAGUUAGCGGCGGACGGGUGAGUAACACGUGGGUAACCUGCCCAUAAGACUGGGAUAACUCCGGGAAACCGGGGCUAAUACCGGAUAACAUUUUGAACCGCAUGGUUCGAAAUUGAAAGGCGGCUUCGGCUGUCACUUAUGGAUGGACCCGCGUCGCAUUAGCUAGUUGGUGAGGUAACGGRUCACCAARGGMAACGAUGCGUAACCVACCUGARAGGUGAUCGGCCCMCUGGGACUGAAACCGGC